ACACCAUCCAUUGCCGUCACGAACCAAGUUUCGCUACUGACAUCGAACGACCGAAUGGGUGUAUUCGUUUAUGUCCUUUCACCUCUAUGUGACCCAGUUAUACGAGAGUUCCGCCAGCAUUGUACCGGUUCUCGUUAAGCAACCAAACUUGGUCACAAGUACGCCACCACCAAGAACUGUGCUAACUUUGAGCCGCUUUUGUCCGACUAUUUAAGAACUCCAAAUUGUUAUUUCUCACUCGCCCUGCUUGCCGUGUUAUUUCCCAUCGUCGUUUGAAGUUGUCCUCAUAUUCUUUUAGCGCGCUUAGUUCUAUAAGGAGUCACAAGCGCAACCACUCAUAAUCUCGAGACUUCAUCAAUCCCGCUCGCGGUUUAGCAUUACCAUGCGCAAAACUGUUGACGAUAUAAUUAAAGAUGCAAGGAAUCUAGUAGGAUUGCCUAGAAAUACAUUUAAAACUUUAAUACUUGUUAUUUUGUAACUUACUUUCAAACUUGUUGUAUCGUGUUUCCAAAUAACGUACUAAAUUAUUAUCAAUGAAAU
rnacentral:lncRNA from 1 species